GAUGAACGCUGGCGGCGUGCCUAAUACAUGCAAGUAGAACGCUGAAGGAGGAGCUUGCUCUUCUGGAUGAGUUGCGAACGGGUGAGUAACGCGUAGGUAACCUGCCUGGUAGCGGGGGAUAACUAUUGGAAACGAUAGCUAAUACCGCAUGACAACAGUUAUUGCAUGAUAACUGUUUAAAAGGGGCAACUGCUCCACUACCAGAUGGACCUGCGUUGUAUUAGCUAGUUGGUGAGGUAACGGCUCACCAAGGCGACGAUACAUAGCCGACCUGAGAGGGGGAUCGGCCACACUGGGACUGAGACACGGCCCAGACUCCUACGGGAGGCAGCAGUAGGGAAUCUUCGGCAAUGGACGGAAGUCUGACCGAGCAACGCCGCGUGAGUGAAGAAGGGUUUCGGAUCGUAAAGCUCUGUUGUAAGAGAAGAACGAGUGUGAGAGUGGAAAGUUCACACUGUGACGGUAUCUGACCAGAAAGGGACGGCUAACUACGUG
rnacentral:rRNA from 1 species